GAUGAUCGGGGAGGCGAUCACCGCAUUGAAGGAGAGGACGGGGUCGAGCCAGUACGCGAUCACGAAGUACAUAGAGGAGAAGCACAAGGAUCAUGUACCCCCCAACUUCAAGAAGCUCCUCCUCUUCCACCUCAAGAAGCUCACCGCGAGCGGUAAGCUCACCAAGGUCAAGAACUCCUACAAGCUCCCCCCGCUCCGCCCCCGCGCUCCCGAAGCGAAGCCGAAGCCGAAGCCAAAGCCAAAGCCAAAGGCAGCCGCGGCCAAGCCGAAGCCGAAGCCGAAGCCAAAAGCGGCUGCUGCCAAGCCUAAGCCCAAGCCCAAGCCAAAAGCAGCUGUGGCUAAACCGAGCACGAAGCCGAAGCCAAAAGCAGCUGCGCCGAAGCCGAAGCCGAAGCCGAAGCCUAAAGCGCUGAAGCCAAAAGCAACUGCGGCGAAGCCGAAGCUGAGGACGAAGGCGUCGCCGGGGAAGAAGAGGGUGGCGCCGAAGAGGGCGCCGGCGCCGGCGCCGGCGAAGAAGGCGAAGGUGGCGAGGAAGGGGAAAUAGGUGUAGUUUUCUCUUCUUCUUUUUUUUUUUUUUUUUUUAAAUUUCUCUUCCGGUUGGUUUAGUUAGAGUGGCAGUGUUUGUAAAUUUAGUAGUCGUGAGAUGGUGCAUGCAUCUUCGAGUUGUUUGAGUGGGAAAAGAAAAGUUUAUAAGAAUUUAGUCUCCUACUUUUUCAUUGUAUGUUUCUUCUAUUGAAAGUGGAGGGGAUGGUAACUGAUCAUUACUUAUUUUUCUCGGUUUAGAUUCAGGGCUGUUAAUUCAGCUUUCGCUGUUUAUGAGUUAGCUUGUAAGAUUUAAGAUAAACUUGAGGUGGCUUGCUCGGCUAAUAANAUAUAUAUUAAUUUUAAUCAAUUUAAAUGUAAAAAAAAUUAUAUUUUAUGAAUUUUAAUUUCUAGAUUAGAAUUUUAAUUUUUUAAUUUUUCUUUUAACUUUUCACCUAGUAGGAGGGUUGCUGCUUGUGAGCUUGCUUGUGAGCUAGUUUGUGUCGGCUUAUUUAUUAAACGAGUCUAGUUUGUGUCGGCUUAUUUAUUAAACGAGUCGAAUGAGAAUUGGCUCUAUUUUGCUUGUGUUUGUUGACAAUUCUAAUUAAAUUAUUGUAAAUUGCCUCGGCGAAUUUGCAUAAGAAAAUCAAUUAAUUUUGUAUUUUUGCAAAAAAAAAAAUAUUAAUUUUUUCGUUUUUGUCGAUUCAAUCUGAAUUAUUAAUAAAUUGAUUAAAUUAUUAUUAUUAUUUUUUUAAUUUUCAUGUUUCUCUUCCUUCCACUCUUUUCUGUUUUUUUUUUCUUUAUUAUUUUUUUUUCCUGUUUCUUCUCUCUCUUCGCCUCUUCAAUAUAUAGGGGAGGAGGGAUAAGAAGUGGGAAAAAAAAGAAAGAGAAUAGAGAUAUUUUCAUUACUUUCAUAAAAAUUUAGUGAGAAUUUAUAAAGUUUGAAAAUAUAGGCUGAUUUUGCAUUGCAAAUAUGCAAAAUUGAUAAGUUUUUUAUACAAAAAAGGCCACUUAAAUUUGCCAGUAGCUAAAAUCUUUUUAAUUAAUUUUUUUUUAUGGUGCUAAAGUUAAUUAAAAUAAUAACAACUGAAAUUUACUGUUAUAUUUUCUUUAUUCAUUUAUGUGUUAGUCUAACAAAUUUAAUAAAAUAAAAAAAAAGUAGAAUAAUCAUAUGUACUGUAUUUGACUAAAAGCAUAACAUUUGGUACCGAUGUUUUCAGUUUGAAGUCCAGAUGCUUUGUAUUUUUAGUUGAAUUUAUUUCUAAAAUAGUGAAGUGGCAAAUUUUGCUUUUUUCUCUCAAACAAAAUGACAAAAAUAGUAAAUUUGUUUACUUAAAUUUUAGUUUUAAAAAAAUAUUCUUGAACUUUGUAAGCAAUGAGAAAAACAAUUUCUGAUUUUUGAAAAUCCAAAAUAAGCAGAUUUGUUUUGAAAUAUAUUGUGAAUCUAACCUGUUUUGGAAAAUUUCACUUCAUUUAUGCGGAAUUUUUUUAAUGUAAAUUGUUCACAAUUAUUAUAAAAAUUAAGUUUGUUUAGGGAUAUUUCAAUUUUACAUCAUCACUCCCCUUUACAUUCCCAUAAAAAGGGCAGAGCAGAGAAAAUAUCUUUAAUUGUAACAGUCGUACUAUACAAACCAACCAAACUGUGCCGUAUAAUCAUAACUAAUAUACACCUGUGCUUUGCAGUGGGUCGAUAGUAUUUCAAAUAAUUAAUAUAUAUAAUUAUUUAAAUUUUAAAAUUAAAAAAUAUAAAAAAUUUAUAUAGUCUUUUAUAUAUUACUAGUUGAUUGUACAUACAAAUACACAUAACAAUUAUUUUAAUUUAUUUUAAAACCACUAUUAAAUAUUUUCAAUAUGCGUUAUAUAUUUUUAUACAGAUCCGAUGUAUCUAAAAUCUUUAUUAGAUAUGUAGAAAGUAUUUAUUCAACCUUGCCUCAAGUGGAGACGUGGCUCAUUGAGAAGUUGCUUUUAUGAUGUGAUGAACUGUCAAAUUAUAUAAUCUUAUCUUAUAGAUUAUAGAUUACCAGUUUACACACUACCUUUUUUAGAUAUUUGGUAUUAAAUCAGAUAUUAAAAUAGCCUUUUGUUAAUAAGCAAAUAUGAGAUUUAGUCUAAGCUAUUUUUCAUAUUGGAAGAUUCUUGCUUUAAGGAGCAUGAACAAAUAUAUAGAUAUAUAUAUAUAUAUAUAUGCAAUAAUUCCACCAGUUUUUGAUAUAUAUUGUUUUAUUGUAAUAUAAAAUUCUUCUUAUAUUUUAAAAAAUUAGAACUUUCACAGAAAUAAUAUAUAAAAAUUUAACUUUAUAAAAACAUAUUUAUAAUUUACUAUAUUUGUAGAAAUCUAUAUGCAUUUAACUCUUUCCUUUAAUUUAUGUCUUUUAUUUAUGGUGCAACUGGUCAUUAAUUUUAGCUACACUACUUUGUUGUAUUCUUUGCCCUUAAUUGCACUUUUCCCUGCCUCUCUGGCUCGCUGCAAUUUUGGUUUUCACCACAGUAUCCGCCUGUCAGCCACUUUUCCUGUUUCAAAAUCUUAUCAAACAUUGCAGUCUGCUUUCACACCCAUCGAAUUCUUGAUCUUGAGCCAGCCUGCUUUUCGUCGCAGCAAAUUCUCCAUCUUGGGGUCUUGACAGUUACUCAGCCGCGGCAGACGUUAAAAUUCUUGGUGAAAUUGCGGGGGCUGCAAGCCAAAUUUCGGCCGUCGAAUCGUAGACGACAUGUUAAAGUACGAUUCAACACCGAGGCUCUCGAUGAUCGAAGAUACAAAAGCUCAAGUGACAGUUGAUCAGCGUGUUCGUGACAUUGUUUUACGUGUUAGUCUCGUUAGCUAGAUCGUCCUAUCAUUUCGAUUCAUUUUUGAAAAGCUUUUAUUGAUUCAAUUCCUAAAGGCUAAGGAUUAAUGUCUCGUUUGUCCCUUUCCGAUCAUCUCACUUUGCUCAUUCCACUUUCAUAGAUUCGCUUGGUUCGUCGAAACCGUUUGAGAGUCAAAGAAGAUCGAUUGCUCUUCGACAUUUUGAACUCAUUGGGGUACUGUAAAGGAGAGCGAUCGAUUUGUCGGGGACUCUUUCCUUUGAUCAUCCCCUUCCUCGACUUUUCGGAGCAUGCUUUGAUGCCAAAUAUCCUAUUUUGAAGCUUUGUUUCGUCAUUUGUCAAAUGUUCAUAUCGAUUUUGAUGGUUAUGCACUAUUUUCGGGUCUUUUGCGUCGCAGCCCGAUAUCGGCUAGUAACUUGAAUAUGAAGUAUAGCAUAUUAGAGAUGAUGGUGCUUCUGCUAUCUACAAGUGCAUUGAUGCGACUACGUAGUCACAUAUCUAUGUUAGCAAUCGUCACCGAUAGUCGAAUACUACGACUUACAUUCGAGCUAAAGAUGUGGUAGAGUCGUCUCCCCCUCGAUGUUUCGUGAUAUGUUUUAACAAUUUUUGCACACCUUGAUGUCCUUCAAAUGCUUGUAUACUCAACACUUAGAAAUGAAUAUAUUUAGAAUCUGUCUCUCUCUCUCUCUCUUUUGUUUUUUUGUUUUUUUAAAAAAACUUUUGAUGUAGAAUUCAGUGAAAAUGCAAAUCUAAUCCCUUCGACGGAAACGUGUAGCGCCUUUUUUGAUCUCGCGCUUGGUCGAUCCGGGAUCGACGGGGUUGAUCAAUGCGGGCUCUCUAAAUGUCGUUGAAGGUCCUCUAGUGACCAAACUCGUAGUAGACCGAGUUAAGAACGAGCUAGGUCUUGGUUCUACCUUUCAAGUCCCUCCAGAAUCCAACAGUAAGAACGGAAAUGAACCGCUUUUGGAUCGAGCCUGCCCAUGAGUGCAUCUAAUUCGGUCUAACCAAAUCCCAACAUUCGAAAAGAGAAAUCUCUCUUUUAUAUGUUCGGUAUCUCGAUCGCAUCAGCUUAAUUUGUUUAAGGUUUCCCAAUGAUUGCUUUUCUAAUUUUGAGUGCAACUACAGAACGUUUGCGUAACUCUCACCAACCGACCAAUUAUACCGCACAGCUUGAGUAAAUAAAAGAGAUAUGUUAAACACAAAAUUCGUCGACCCAAACAAACCCGUCGCGUACUAAAACUAUCUUAAAAUUAGCAUCAACAGUUGACUAGUAGCUAAUGCUUCUUGCAACAAGAACAAAAGAAUAAUCUAGCGAAGAAAGGUUAUAGAAUUCUUUCCUCUACUGAUCCUAAUUCAGUUUUAUGCUUCACUGGAAUUAUGUUACCAAAGGAAAAAAAAUCAAAAUCGACGAAAACGUAACAUUUAGUUGCACUUGAUUUAGUUUUGCUAAAGAUCAAUCAAUAGGGUUCCAAUGAAGGAAAAAAUAGAGAGAAGGGGAGCCAGAGGACCCUAUUAAAGUGGCGGUAAUACGAUAGCAAUAUGAUGCACAAGCCAAAAAAGAAGUUCCAUUUUGUUCAUCGUUGUUUGAUGCGACGAUCCGAUACAAUGAUUUGAUUUUUAUAGAUCAACGAGCUUACAAAGAAAUAGGGAUAACCCUCGACUUAAUUCACGGAACUUUGAAUGACUUGAAUGGCAAAGAGUCUAGCUUAUAAAACCAAAUUGUGUAAAGUUUCAAAUAGUUAAUGCCAAAGAAGCGAUAUCUACUGCAACAUAAGAGAUGAAAUAGAUGCUCAAACAUAAAUAUUAGUCGAGUUCAAGUAACUCCUUAGCAAAGUCCAAUGCAUCAAGCGAACUAAUCUCAUCGCAAAACAUCAUCUGCAAUUGUAUUCACACUUUUACUAAUUCCAUAUAAGAAUUGUAAGGAGCUAGUGAAGUUGUUAGAUCACAAGGAACUCUACAUCAUGUUGAUGAAAUUGUUCCUAUUGUCGAAACGCGUACUUUUGACGAAAGAGAGCAUACAAAAUCAAAUUCCGAGAGGUCGAAAUGCAUCAAGCAUUGUUUCCUCUUCACACAUGAAGAUGUCUAUGAACAAACAAGUACUUAUCGGAAAAACAAAUGCGAAAUAGUUUGAGCAGUAGCAUUCUAAGAUGCUUUCAUACCACAAACCAUCUAAAUCGACAGCGUAAGUUUUGAAUCGCGCUUCAAAUUUUAAAUUAGGUGCUUUGUUUGAAAUUUAUGCUAUGAUGAUUUGAAGCAUACCAAACAAAUCAUGAUUAGUAAAAACAUUUGUGUCACUUCGACGCCGUUCAAACAGCGUUUAAUCUCUCGUUUCUGAUCGGAUUUCGAUGAUUCAAAGUGUGACUAUUAGCUAUGCUCUUCCUCUAUCAUUUGAGAUCAACAAAACACACCAAAGUGAUCAAAGGAUCCUUCUAAUAGGCUAAAAACCUCAUCAAACUCACACAGAAACCUUGUGCAUGACCAGUGUCGCUUCAAAUUUAAAUUUCUCUCAAAAUGUGGGACCAUUUUAAACAAAUUUGCACUCAUUUGAAAGCUAAGGUCCAGAGCUUCAACUUGAUUUAAAUUUCAUUUGAAUCCAUGGGCCACAGCUAAAGUUAUUGAGAUUUAAAUUGGAGGGAAAAGCACACUGAAACUUUGGCCAAUCCCUUUGUAGUCCUACCUAUGCUCUAUCCUGGCUCCAUCCAUUUACCCACUCCCUACCGUUGAUGCGAGUUUAGAUCGAACGGCCCAUAUUUGAAAAUAAGGAGGGAGUAAUCCGAGUGCGGGCAUGUUGACCAAUAACACAGCCCCACGUGUCGUCCGCUCUCUCACAUCGCCCACUAUUUAAAUCCAUUUCGUUCUCUUCCUCGCCCAUCAUCGUCAACCUACGCUCUCUCUCUCUCUCUCUCUCUCUUUCUUACUCUCUCUCAUAACCGAUCGCGUUCGUCUACGGGAGACUCUAACCCUAACCCUAGCUCGAUUCUAUACGCUCCCCGAUCCAUGGCGACGGAGGAGGAAGCGGCGGAGGGCGGCGCCGCCCCGGUGGAGGGGGCGGCGGAGGAGGAGCCCGCCGCCGAGAACGACGCCGCCGCGGCGGAGGGAGCCGCGGUGGGGAACGCGAAGAAGCAGCGCGCCCCGAAGGAGCCCAAGGAGAAGAAGCCGCGGAAGCCCCGGUCCCCUCCCUCCCAUCCCCCGUACAUCGAGGUGAGCAUCGCAUUGAAUGGAAUCUUAGCUUCGUUUCCUCUGUUGUGUGGUUUUGGGAUGUGAAAUCGGGAUCCGAGUAAAACCCUAACGUUUGACCCUAACCCUAACCCUAACCCUAAACGCAGAUGAUCGGGGAGGCGAUCACCGCAUUGAAGGAGAGGACGGGGUCGAGCCAGUACGCGAUCACGAAGUACAUAGAGGAGAAGCACAAGGAUCAUGUACCCCCCAACUUCAAGAAGCUCCUCCUCUUCCACCUCAAGAAGCUCACCGCGAGCGAUAAGCUCACCAAGGUCAAGAACUCCUACAAGCUCCCCCCGCUCCGCGCCCGCGCCCCCGCCUCGGCCUCCGCCCCCGCGCCCGAGCCCAAGCCCAAGCCCAAGCCCAAGUCGAAGCCCAAGCCCAAGCCAAAAGCUGCCUCGGCGAAGCCCAAGCCCAAGCCGAAAGCCGCGGCGGUGAAGCCGAAGCCCAAGCCCAAGCCGAAACCGAAAGCAGCUGCGGCUAAGCCCAAGCCCAAGCCGAAAGCGGCGG
rnacentral:lncRNA from 1 species